rnacentral:misc_RNA from 1 species
GAUGAAGAACGUAGCGAAAUGCGAUAAGUAAUGUGAAUUGCAGAAUUCAGUGAAUCAUCGAAUCUUUGAACGCACAUUGCGCCCCCUGGUAUUCCGGGGGGCAUGCCUGUUCGAGCGUCAUUACAACCCUCAAGCUCUGCUUGGUAUUGGGCCCCGCCAGUUCUGGCGGGCCCUUAAGUCAGUGGCGGUGCCUUCCGGCUCCGAGCGUAGUAAUUCUUCUCGCUCUGGAGACCCGGUUGUGUGCUUGCCAACAACCCCCAAUUUUUUAAGGUUGACCUCGGAUCAGGUAGGGAUACCCGCUGAACUUAAGCAUAUCAAUAAGCGGAGGA